GGGGGAUAUUGCGCAAUGGGGGAAACCCUGACGCAGCGACGCCGCGUGAAGGAAGAAGGCCUUCGGGUCGUAAACUUUUGUCUUCUGGGACGAAACAUGACGGUACCAGAGGAGGAAGCCACGGCUAACUACGUGCCAGCAGCCGCGGUAAUACGUAGGUGGCGAGCGUUGUCCGGAAUUACUGGGUGUAAAGGGCGCGUAGGCGGGGCAGCAAGUCAGAUGUGAAAUACCGGGGCUCAACACCGGGGAUGCAUUUGAAACUGUAGCUCUUGAGUGCAGGAGAGGAAAGCGGAAUUCCUAGUGUAGCGGUGAAAUGCGUAGAGAUUAGGAGGAACACCAGUGGCGAAGGCGGCUUUCUGGACUGUAACUGACGCUGAGGCGCGAAAGCGUGGGGAGCAAAC
rnacentral:rRNA from 1 species